CCUACGGGUGGCUGCAGUGGGGGAUAUUGCACAAUGGGGGAAACCCUGAUGCAGCGACGCCGCGUGAGUGAAGAAGUCUCUCGGUAUGUAAAGCUCUAUCAGCAGGGAAGAAAAUGUCAGUACCUGACCACGACUCCCCGGCCAACUCCGUUCCAGCAUCCGCGGCAAUACGUAGGGGGCAAGCGUUAUCCGGAUUUACUGGGGGUAAAGGGAGCGUAAUCGGUUAUGUAAGUCUGGAGUGAAAUCCCGGGGCCCAACCCCGGGACUGCUUUGGAAACUGUGUAACUGGAGUACAGGAGGGGCAGGCGGAAUGCCUGGUGUAGCGGUGAAAUGCGUAGAUAUCAGGAAGAACACCGACGGCGAAGGCAGCCUGCUAGACUGAAACUGACGUUGAGGCUCGAAAGCGUGGGGAGCAAACAGGAUUAGAUACCCGAGUAGUC
rnacentral:rRNA from 1 species